rnacentral:rRNA from 1 species
AAGAGACAGCAGCAGCCGCGGGAAUACGGAGGGUGCAAGCGUUAUCCGGAUUUACUGGGUUUAAAGGGUGCGUAGGCGGACUUGUAAGUCCGAGGUGAAAUCUCUGAGCUUAACUCGGAAACUGCCUUGGAUACUAUAGGUCUUGAAUCUCGUUGAGGUUUGCGGAAUAUGUCAUGUAGCGGUGAAAUGCUUAGAUAUGACAUAGAACACCUAUUGCGAAGGCAGCAGGCUAAACGAGUAUUGACGCUGAUGCACGAAAGCGUGGGGAUCAAACAGGAUUAGAUACCCCUGUAGUCCCUGUCUCUUAUAA